ACAGGGUUAGCUGAAAACCUGUAAUAGAGUAGGCA
rfam:Mucilaginibacter paludis DSM 18603 chromosome, whole genome shotgun sequence.